UACAGAGGGUGCAAGCGUUAAUCGGAAUUACUGGGCGUAAAGCGUGCGUAGACGGUUACAUAAGUCGGGUGUGAAAGCCCCGGGCUCAACCUGGGAAUUGCAUUCGAGACUGCGUAGCUAGGGUGCGGAAGAGGGAAGCGGAAUUUCCGGUGUAGCGGUGAAAUGCGUAGAUAUCUGGAGGAAUACCGGUGGCGAAGGCGGCAUCCUGGACCGACAUUGACGCUGAACGGCGAAAGCUAGGGGAGCGAAACGGG
rnacentral:rRNA from 1 species